rnacentral:rRNA from 1 species
GUUGAACGCUGGCGGCGGGCCUAAUACAUGCAAGUCGAGCGGACAAAGGAGGAGCGCUCUUCGCUUACGUGAGGGACGGGCGGGUGAGUAAUAGGUGGCUAACCGGCCGAGGAGGCUAAGGUAAGGUCGGGAACCCGAAUCUAGUACCGGACAAGAGAGUGAAAGGCAGGGUUCAACGGAGAUAGCGCGAUUAGCUGAGACUAGGACGGAUUAGCUAGUUGGUGUGGUAAAGGCCUACCAAGGCGACGAUCCGUAGCUGGUCUGAGAGGAUGAUCGGCCACACUGGAACUGAGACACGGUCCAGACUCCUACGGGAGGCAGCAGUGGGGAAUCUUCGGCAAUGGGCGAAAGCCUGACGCAGCCAUGCCGCGUGUGUGAAGAAGGUCUUCGGAUCGUAAAGCACUUUUAUUUGGGAAGAAGAGAUGUGUAAGAAACCCUUGCCGUCUUGACGUUACCUACUCAGAAAGCACCGGCUAACUUCGUG